CGAUUCACAGGCGCAUGUGCGUUAGAGGAGAGCUCAGUCUUUUCUUGUUUGAUGUUUGUUGUGAUGUACCCACUGCAAAGGUUAUGCAAAAUACUCAAGCAGCACAGAGACAGACAGUCACAGAUAGAAGCCAUGCUGAAGAACCACACCCACAGAGGAACAUGCCAGCAGGUGCAUCUAAUUACAGCAUCCUGUCUACAGACGUUUGACAGUCUUAUGACAAAUGCAAUGUCAGAUGCUUCGCAUUUGAACUUUGGCUAAGGACACCUAACAAACCUAAAUGUAUUAUCACCCUGAAAACAUCCCAUGAUACAUCACUGCCAACAACAUCAUGAUACAAGUGCUGGGGAAAACAACAAAGUGCCACACAAACACUUCUCAUCUUCUCAGCACAUGACACAAGAGCAACUUACAAUUUAGCCCCUCACAGCAAACAGUGAACCUGAAGAAACUUUCCAUUUCCUCUAAAGGGAUCUUCACCCAGCUCUUGCAGAGGUGUGAGUGCUGCAGUUAGGAACGUGACGCUGUUUCUCAGUCACGCCCAUCUGAGAUGCACAACAAAGCUGCUCACUCGAACACAAACACAUUACACAUCUAUCUCUUAUCUCACCUGUGAUUUCAGGCACAAGCAUUUAUCAUCAGAUUUUCAA